GAUGAACGCUGGCGGCGUGCCUAAUACAUGCAAGUCGAGCGAAGCGGGCACGGGUGAGUAACACGUCGAUAACCUCCUAUAAGACUGGGAUAACUUCUUGAAACCUGAGCUAAACCCGAUUCUUAUCCAUGGUUCCUCUCUGCAUUAGCUAGUGGGUGAGGUAACGGCUGACCAAGGCAACGAUGCAUAGCCGGGCUGAAAGGGUGAUCGGCCACACUGGAACUGAGAAACGGUCCAGACUCCUACGGGAGGCAGAAGUAGGGAAUCUUCCGCAAUGGGCGAAAGCCUGACGGAGCAACGCCGCGUGAGUGAUGAAGGUCUUCGGAUCGUAAAACUCUGUUAUUAGGGAAGCGGUAAGUAAAGAGAAAGCAACGGCUAACUACGUGCCAGCAGCCGCGGUAAUAG
rnacentral:rRNA from 1 species